UACGAAGGGGGCUAGCGUUGUUCGGAAUUACUGGGCGUAAGGGGCGCGUAGGCGGCCGAUCAAGUCAGAGGUGAAAGCCCAGGGCUCAACCCUGGAAUUGCCUUUGAUACUGUUCGGCUAGAGACCGGAAGAGGUUAGUGGAACUGCGAGUGUAGAGGUGAAAUUCGUAGAUAUUCGCAAGAACACCAGUGGCGAAGGCGGCUAACUGGUCCGGUUCUGACGCUGAGGCGCGAAAGCGUGGGGAGCAAACAGG
rnacentral:rRNA from 1 species